UGGGGAAUAUUGGACAAUGGGCGCAAGCCUGAUCCAGCCAUGCCGCGUGAGUGAUGACGGCCUUAGGGUUGUAAAGCUCUUUUAACAGGGACGAUAAUGACGGUACCUGUAGAAUAAGCCCCGGCUAACUUCGUGCCAGCAGCCGCGGUAAUACGAAGGGGGCUAGCGUUGUUCGGAAUCACUGGGCGUAAAGCGCACGUAGGCGGAUUGUUAAGUCGGGGGUGAAAUCCUGAGGCUCAACCUCAGAACUGCCUUCGAUACUGGCGAUCUUGAGUUCGGAAGAGGUUGGUGGAACAGCUAGUGUAGAGGUGAAAUUCGUAGAUAUUAGCUAGAACACCAGUGGCGAAGGCGGCCAACUGGUCCGAUACUGACGCUGAGGUGCGAAAGCGUGGGGAGCAAACAGGAUUAGAUACCCCCGUAGUCC
rnacentral:rRNA from 1 species